GGAUGAUGUAGCUGCUUACUGCCCCUUCCAGGCUGCGGCACUUCCAAGUUCAGUCACUUGGGUUUUUCUGCUCAGUUUGUAGUCGCUCAGCAUUUCCUCGGGGCCUCAGUGUCCCUGGCGUAUGUCACCACUGUGAGCUCAGAAGCUCAGUUCCUCCCCAGCCCAGACAAGCAGUUGAGCCAUUGAGAAGCCCGAGUUGAGUUGAAGGGUGCUGCGACCCUUGUGCAAGUUCAGCUGAUAAGAGCCAGAUUUGAAUUUGGAUCCAUGGGUCUGGGAGCCUGAGAUUUAAUUAUUUAACGUGUGUGUGUGUGUGUGUGUGUGUGUGUGUGUGUGAGAGAGAGAGAGAGAGAGAGAGAGAGAGUUGGUGGUGGUGCUGGGGAUGGAACCCAGGGCCCAACAAAUGCUGUACCACUCAAUCCCCCAGCCCUUGCCUGAGGGAUUAUGCAUGACAGUAAUAGCGGGCGUGGGGGUGCACACUUGGAAUCCCAGUGACUCUGGAGGCUGAGGCAGGAGAAUCGCAAGUUUGAGGCUAGCCUGGAGAACUUUGACCUUGUCUCAAAAGAAAAAUUAAAAAGGGCUGGGGACCCAGGCAUGGUGGCACAAGUUGUAAUCCCAGUGGCUCAGGAGGCUGAGGCAGGAGGAUUGCGAGUCCAAAGCCAGCCUCAGCAACUGUGAAGCUGCUAAGCAACUCAGUGGGACCCUGUCUGUAAAUAAAAUACAAAAGAGGGCUGGGGAUGGGGUUCAGUGGUUGAGUGCCCCUGAUUUCAACCCCUGGGUUGCAGCUCAGGGGUAGAGUGCUCGCCCAGGGGAGUGCCAAGUCUGGAUUCCAUCCCCAGUGUGGGGGGUGGGGGGACAGUUUUCCUGGCCUCAAACUGCAAGUCCAACUUUAGCCACCACUGUGACAAGCAAAGGUGUCUCCCCAUGUUGCUGGAAGCUGAGGUGGGUGUCCUGCUUCAGCACACUUGUGCCAACUCAGAGGUAACCCUGCCUCUCUUUCUUUGCCCCCCACUCCCUGACUCCCUCUCUCACGGAUUGAACCCGGGUUAGAUCCAGUGACCCACAUCCCCAGCCCUUUUUAUUUAUUUAUUUUGAGACGGGGUCUGGCCAAGUCGCUUAGGCCUCCGAAAUUCCAAGGUUGACCUAGAACUUGCAAUCCUCCGGUCUCAGCCUCCCGGGCUCUGGGAUCACAGGCAAGCCGGCUUUCCCAGGGCUUUCGGAGCCUGGGCAGGGCUCCGGUGUUGGUGGCGGGGGUGACUGGCAGGUUCAGGCACCUGGGGAGUGGUCAGCAAGGCCAGGCACAGCCCGGUGCCUGGGGAGAGGGGUGCCGGGCGGCCUCCGGCGGGUGGAGUCAGCUUGUCCUCUCCCUCCUUCCUGGUUCCCAGGGUGGGAGGUGGCGGUGGUGGCCCCGAAGCGGGAGGGCGUGGGGAGCCGCGGCCCCGCCUCGGAUUUACUGGGCGUGAG
rnacentral:lncRNA from 1 species